AUUGAACGCUGGCGGCAUGCCUUACACAUGCAAGUCGAACGGUAACAGGUCUUCGGAUGCUGACGAGUGGCGAACGGGUGAGUAAUACAUCGGAACGUGCCUAGUAGUGGGGGAUAACUACUCGAAAGAGUGGCUAAUACCGCAUGAGAUCUACGGAUGAAAGCAGGGGAUCGCAAGACCUUGUGCUACUAGAGCGGCCGAUAUCAGAUUAGGUAGUUGGUGGGGUAAAGGCCCACCAAGCCAACGAUCUGUAGCUGGUCUGAGAGGACGACCAGCCACACUGGAACUGAGACACGGUCCAGACUCCUACGGGAGGCAGCAGUGGGGAAUUUUGGACAAUGGGCGAAAGCCUGAUCCAGCCAUUCCGCGUGCAGGAUGAAGGCCCUCGGGUUGUAAACUGCUUUUGUACAGAGCGAAAAGGUUUCUACUAAUACUAGGAGCUCAUGACGGUACUGUAAGAAUAAGCACCGGCUAACUACGUGCCAGCCGCCGCAGUAA
rnacentral:rRNA from 1 species